UGCAAGUGUUCAAGAGUUCCUGGUGUUCUCUUUAUGCUUAUGGACUCUUAUGUUGAUCUAGAGUACAAAAAAUACAGAGAUCGAUCAUCAAUACUUGGAGAUGCAAUAUAUUAUCUCAACGAACUUUUACAAAGGAUCAAUGAUCUUCACAACGAACUUGAGUCAACUCCACUUGGAUCUUUGCCUCAAACUUCAACAAGCUUCCAUCCAUUAACACCUACACCUGAUACUCGUUAUUGCCGUGCGAAGAAAGAGUUAUGUCCCUCAUCUUAGCCAAGGCCUAAAGGCCAACAAGCAAGAGUUUGAGGUUAGACUAAGAGAAGGAAGAACAAUGAAAAUUCGUGUGAUUUGUUGUCAUAGACCUGGUUAUAUGCCAGCAACUGUGAAAACCUGAAUAAUCUUGGAUUUGGAUGUUCAGCAAGCGGUGAUUAGCUGUUCAAACUGGUUUGCCAAGCUGAGGUUUCAAAUCAUUGAAAAAAAUCCAAGCGCCAUGGAAGUCAAAUUGUCUUCUUGGAGGCUACAGUCCUCGCCAUAGAGAGCCUUCUUACAGGUCAGUUAAUCUCAUGUUUCAACUAACUAAACCUGAGAAGUAUGCUUAGAACAAUGAUAAUAACAUACUCACCUCUAAUUAGUAUAUAAUUUUUUCUUUUCUUUUUGGAACAACACAUAGCAACUUUGUUCAUAUUAUAUAGCUUCUGUUAGAACUGAAUAUGAAAGUGAAGACAGUGUAAAUGAUGUUCAAACGUCGAGCAGAAGAUCCAGACCAUGAAAUCUAACAAGGCCGUAAAGCCAGACUAGCCUCCACCAUUUGUCAAGGAAUUUGUGUCUAGAAAGAGGAGAGAAGCCAGCAACAAAGGAAGAAGAAGAAUAAGAAUAAGAGAAGCUACCUAAGUUAACCAAAGAAAAAGAAGAGUUGAUUAAGAAAGAAGAGGAGAAGAGAAAACAAAACACUAUGCAGAGAUGAAGUAGCAGCAUCAGUUGGAGGAGGAGAUAGCAAAAGCGAAA